AGAAAUACAUGUGCAUGGAGACUUAAAAUCCAAUCAAUAAAGAACACUGAUGCCUCCGUAGCAUGCUCCAAAAGUGCUAAUAGCAUGACAAGCAGGAACUCCAAUAAACAGUUUGAGCCAAUCCCUAUAAAAAUACACAGUACUGGGGAAAAACAAUCAGGGACACUAGAGUAAAAGCAAUAGGAGACUGAAGAAUGUGAAAUUUGGCCAAAGUUUUAAGGUCAGGAGGCAGAUACUGUAAACAAGGCCAGGUGCUUUCCAUCAUGUCCAUGGAGGUAGAGGAGAAGGUAAAGACUUCAAAGGAUUCAGAAAAGUGGCUACAGCUGUGAGUGAUCUGACUCACCAGGAAGUGCACAGUCUUUGAGGUAAUAUAUAGUGGGAAAGGUGACUUAGAACCCUCUUAGUCCCUGGUAAACCUAGGCCUGAAAGAAGAGGGAGAAUACAGAGCUGCAAGAUGUGUGUAACAUAUCUAGUCAUGGUUUAACAGGAUGUUUUGCUGGGAGGAUGGUUUGCAGCCCAACCUGGAACCCGUUGUCCCUGUGUUGGCAGGAACAACACAACUGAAAUACACUGAAAAUGUGCAAUCCCUGCUACAGCAGCCACCAAAUUUUAUGAGUAUAUAUUAACUACCACCUAAACCAAAGUCAUAAAACAACUGCAGGCUACUCUUCUCCUACCCUUUUAUACAGCAUGUCGUGUAGUUGAUAAUUGCCUCCCUAGAACUCUAUAAAUUAAUCCCAGAUGGCCUGGACUGUUGUCAAAGCUCCUGUUACCAGGAAGUAACUGACAGUUCUGCAGAUCCAGGCUAUUCAUGGAUCAAAAGGUAGGAAUGGAAAUGCUAUUGCUCCUUUCAGAUAGAUGAAGCCCUUAGGAGACUGAGGUAUGGAAGGGGAGGAAUAAUUUUUCUCUACUCUGGGGAAGAAAUCUUCAUAAGAACUAUGCAUUGAACAAAUAACUGGGAUGAUUUUCUCCAAUUAUUGAUAGGUAUGUUAAAAUAAUUUUUAAAUGCAUUUAAUUUUAAGGCAAUAUAUAUAUAUAUGUAUGUUCUUGGAACAAUGGAAAACAAGUGGAAAGAAAGAAUAAAUAAA
rnacentral:lncRNA from 1 species